UAGGGAAUCUUCCACAAUGGGUGCAAACCUGAUGGAGCAAUGCCGCGUGAGUGAAGAAGGUCUUCGGAUCGUAAAGCUCUGUUGUUAGAGAAGAACACGUGCUAAGUAACUACUAGCGCCUUGACGGUAUCUAACCAGAAAGUCACGGCUAACUACGUGCCAGCAGCCGCGGUAAUACGUAGGUGACAAGCGUUGUCCGGAUUUAUUGGGCGUAAAGGGAGCGCAGGCGGUCUGUUUAGUCUAAUGUGAAAGCCCACGGCUUAACCGUGGAACGGCAUUGGAAACUGACAGACUUGAAUGUAGAAGAGGAAAAUGGAAUUCCAAGUGUAGCGGUGGAAUGCGUAGAUAUUUGGAGGAACACCAGUGGCGAAGGCGAUUUUCUGGUCUAACAUUGACGCUGAGGCUCGAAAGCGUGGGGAGCGAACAGGAUUAGAUACCCUGGUAGUCCACGCCGUAAACGAUGAGUGCUAAGUGUUGGGGGCUUUCCGGCCCUCGGUGCUGGAGCUAACGUAUUAAGCACUCCGCCUGGGGAUUACGACCGCAAGGUU
rnacentral:rRNA from 1 species